CCGUGCCCACCUUUCCUGCCAUCAAAAGGGAGAGGAAGGGGGAUCGCAUUCAUCUUCGGGGAGAAGCUGCUGCUCGCCGGGGGGCUUUCUCUUCAUGCCGCUCUCCUUUCCUUCCUCUAAAAACACCCCCUCUCUUCUUUCUCUUGCGCACCUUGAUAUUCUGGAAUAUCAAGGCAGAAUAUCAAGGCAGAAUAACCCACAAUAUCUGCUUUGAACUGGAUUAUCUGAGUCCACACUUCUAUAUAAUCCAGUUCAAAGCAGAUAAUGUGGAUUAUCUGCCUUGAUAUUCUGGGUUAUAUGGUUGUGUGGAAGGACCCUCAGGGCUCUUCUACACAGCCAUAUAACCAGAAUAUCAAGGCAGAAAAUCUCACAAUAUCUGCUUUGAACUUGGUUAUUUGAAUCCACACUGCCCUAUAUCCCAGUUCGUUUGGUGCAAUUCACAAAUAUAGUAAUUCCUACAUAACAUUACCGUGUAUUGAACUGCUUUUUCUGUUGAUUUGUUGUAAAACAUGAUGUUUUGGUGCUUAAUUUGUAAAAUUAUAAUGUAAUUUGAUGUUUAAUAGGCUUUCCCUUAAUCCCUCCUUGUUAUCCAACAUUUUCACUUAUCCAAUGCUUUUAUUUUUCAGUGAUUGGUUUGGGGGGAGGCGUCAAAAUUCUGUUCGCUUAUAUUUGAAAAUUACCUAGGGCUGGCCCUGCUGAGAAUUAUGACAUUUGUAGUAAAAUACAUCCAGAAACUGCUAAGUGGGACACAAACAUCUUCAAGUGUCUGUCAAUAAAAUUUAGACUGAAAUGAACUCCAUGGGCCAUUGAGCCCAACCCUCUGUACAAUACAGAAACUCCAACUAAACUAUAGUCAAUUUCUGAAGAUGUCCAGGGAAGGUGACCCUACUAUCCCUCUAGAAAAUUGAUUCCAUUGUGAAAGUGCUCUUACUGUCAGGAGGUUACUUCGCUUGAAAUCCAAUUUUUCUAUAAUUUCAAACUGUUAGGCAUCCCCAGGGCCAUGCAUUGCCCCCUCCUUUUCUAGAAUAUGGACAUCACAAAAACAACCCUGAGCUUUCCGUUUGACUACCAAGCAAUUCUACGAAAAUUGUGAUCAGUGGCUGGCUACAUUUUUCAUCAUAGGCCUCUUUGCCUCCACCUCCUUCUCAAUUUCAAGCAUAGAACCAUUCUGAUCACACAGGUUACAGCCCCUAAAAAUCCUAGUGAAGAUGGGGGCUAUAACCCAAAAUAUCUAGAGACUCCCAGUUGCCUACUUCUGCUCUAAUUCAACAUUUGUCUUGCCAUUCCCUCCUGCCAAAGUUCCAGGCAGCCAUUUUUUUUUCAAGUAAGUAGAUACCAGGAGAUUAGAGUGGGCCUCAGUAGCUUUCUUUAAAGGAGGAAAAUGACCCCGGUAGCAUCAGUAAAUAGCACAAGUUUCAUGUAAACACCUCUGCUAUGUUUCCCUCAUGUCUCUAAGUGCUUUACUGAAAACAAAUGAACAGUAGAAUGAAAGUGCUGCACCGACAUUCCACAGUAUACACGGCUCUAGACAAUCACUUGUUUUUUUCCAUUUAACAGGGACAGUAGACUUGAGUUUCCCAGAAUAAUGAGCCAUUAUACUUGGAUUUUUAAAAAUAAUUUGUGCCCAUCCUUAAUUUAUCAGAGGGGUUGCUGUCUCUUGGAUGAGCCUGUCUGCCUAUUAAGUUUGAAAACAGAACCCUCUGCAUGUCCAAACAGGGUGGCCACUUAUGCAUCAUCCAAAGAAGAAUAACGAAUUACCAAAAAAAGUGUGUAGGGCGGGGGCAGGGUUGCAGGUUUAUAUACUUUCAUUUGCAAAUCUUUAUGUGUAGGUGAAAUCCUGAAAAUAGAAAUCCUAUGCAUCUGACCAUAGAAGAUUGUGACCAGCUGGUUACUGUGCUUUCUCUUUCUGCCCAGAUACCCACAGUUGAUGAGCAACUUUAUUGUCUCAGUUCUCACAUCUUAGAUUGCUUUAGCUUCAAUCAGAUAAUCCAACAAACAUACAAGCUCCACGUGGAUGAUUGUUACUUCUUCCUGACUUUUCCUUUCCUGAGAUUGUCCUGAAGUAAACAGGGUGAUCUUCAGUGCAUCUGGGAAAGAAUGUAGAGAAAAGGAACAAAGACGGGUUGAGGCAUCAUGAUACAACAUGCAGGAUUCAGCCUAGGUUCCUGUGUUGGAGAAAGGUGGGAUGGCAAUGAAAUUAAUCAAUCAAUCAAUGAUAAAGCUGGAAUUUGAGUUGGGGAAUUCUGGAAGCAGUGCACUGAAGAAAAUAACUUUCCCUGGCUCUGCUUGAAUCUUUUGAUAACAAUACAAUAAAUAAAAACAUAUUUCAGUUGUGUAGUAAAAAUAAUACGAAUAAAGAUAGAUUUCAGACAUGAAAAUAUAUAUAAAUAAAAAUACAAAUUUGAUAGUUUGGCUAUGAUGCAUAGAAGCCAGUUGUGAUCUCAGUUGUGGCUCAAUAGAUACACAGAAAUGGCCAGCAAAGUCAUCAAAGAGCAGGCUU